AUGCAAGUCGAACGGUAACAGGUCUUCGGAUGCUGACGAGUGGCGAACGGGUGAGUAAUACAUCGGAACGUGCCUAGUAGUGGGGGAUAACUACUCGAAAGAGUGGCUAAUACCGCAUGAGAUCUACGGAUGAAAGCAGGGGAUCGCAAGACCUUGUGCUACUAGAGCGGCCGAUGGCAGAUUAGGUAGUUGGUGGGAUAAAAGCUUACCAAGCCGACGAUCUGUAGCUGGUCUGAGAGGACGAUCAGCCACACUGGGACUGAGACACGGCCCAAACUCAUACGGGAGGCAGCAGUGGGGAAUUUUGGACAAUGGGCGCAAGCCUGAUCCAGCAAUGCCGCGUGCAGGAUGAAGGCCUUCGGGUUGUAAACUGCUUUUGUACGGAACGAAAAGCCCUGGGUUAAUACCCUGGGGUCAUGACGGUACCGUAAGAAUAAGCACCGGCUAACUACGUGCCAGCAGCCGCGGUAAUACGUAGGGUGCGAGCGUUAAUCGGAAUUACUGGGCGUAAAGCGUGCGCAGGCGGUUUUGUAAGACAGAGGUGAAAUCCCCGGGCUCAACCUGGGAACUGCCUUUGUGACUGCAAGGCUAGAGUACGGCAGAGGGGGAUGGAAUUCCGCGUGUAGCAGUGAAAU
rnacentral:rRNA from 1 species